AAUUUUGGACAAGGGGCGCAAGCCUGAUCCAGCCAUGCCGCGUGAGUGAAGAAGGCCUUCGGGUUGUAAAGCCCUUUCGGACGGAAAGAAAUCGCGCAGGCUAAUACCCUGCGCGGAGGACGGUACCGUAAUAAGAAGACCCUCAUAACUCUGUGCCAGCAUCCGCGGUAAUACGUAGGGUGCGAGCGUAAAUCGGAAUUACUGGGCGUAAAGCGUGCGCAGGCGGUUGAUUAAGACAGGCGUGAAAUCCCCGGGCUUAACCUGGGAACUGCGCUUGUGACUGGUCAGCUAGAGUACGGCAGAGGGGGGUGGAAUUCCACGUGUAGCAGUGAAAUGCGUAGAGAUGUGGAGGAACACCGAUGGCGAAGGCAGCCCCCUGGGCCGAUACUGACGCUCAUGCACGAAAGCGUGGGUAGCAAACAGG
rnacentral:rRNA from 1 species